GGUGUGCUGUUCUCAUUGGAAAAACCGGACGGCCGUUUUUCCACAGAUGGGAGACGUGUACGGCUCUGAAUACCUUGGAGACGUGCACGGCGGUACGGGAUCCAAGUCCAACUUGAUUGCCAGCUAGCAUUUAGCGGGGUGGAUCUGAAAUAUUUAAAAUAUUUUAAUUAUUAUAUAAUAAUUUGGUAGUUGAAUGAAUGGUCGAGGACAAGGAGGCUUCCACGGGAACUAGUGGAAUAUUUGAUUGAUUAUCAGCUGAUUUCCUGUUGGUUGUACCAUCUCAUUAGGCCACUGUACAUAAUUAGCGGA
rnacentral:lncRNA from 1 species